AGUGCGCGCGCCGCGCGCGGAAGCGUCUCUCAACAACCGAAUGCUACGCCAGUGCUACCCUCGUACCUUGCCUGCUACCUUCGUUCAUUUCACGGCUGGAUCUUCUAGAAGAAGCAUUCGAGUUGUUGGAUGCAUCUCGUUUGUCCACGGAGAGUGUUGGAUUCGUAGAUCCACUCUCCACGUGUCUCCUAUUGAGAAGCAGCCGCUAAGUAGCUCACGCUUAUCAUCGCAAUCGUUUUAAAAAAGAUGGGAGAGUAGAUUGCAACCUGUUUCAAAUUUCUCUUCAAAUUAGGCGUUAACAAAUGCAUCAUCAUCUUACUGUUCAUGGUGCUUAUUAUCAGCAAUGGAUAACAUGGAGCCAUUGGAAUGUUUGUCAUAAUAUUUAAACCUCUGACACGGUUUCAUGUUAGAGUAUUUUUCUGCCUGUAUUCACAAAGCCUGUAUUUUUACGAUGGAAGAAGAUUCAAAUAUCGAAUGUUCAAAAGCAUUGUUACUUCCUGUGAAAAAAAACAAACCAGGCCAGCCAGUCCGCAGUAAUCAAAGGCUUGAAAUUAUCAAUUUGUUCUAUAAGAUGAAGGAAAUCAAUCCAAAUAUUUUCCAGAAAGAUGCUGCUGUAUUAUCAAAACAAACGGGUAUUAAUACUUAUACCAUAAAUAAAAUAUUGCACGAAUAUAAAAACACGGGUGCAAUUAUAUCCCCCAAUAGUAAGAAACGUUGCCUAAUUUUUCGAGAAAAAAUCAAUGAAUGUGACAAAGACGCUAUUUGGAAAAAAAAUUUACGAAUUUUAUCCAAAAAAAGAAUUGCCAACGUUGGCAAAAGUUUUACAAAGUGUAAACGCUGACAACGAUCUCCCAAAUUUUAAACGAUCGAAUUUUUACUUGCUUUUAAAAAGAUCUAAAUUUUGAAUUUAUUUAAAGUAAAAGCAAAGAAAUACCAGAAACUCUGGUAAGGGCCGAAAUGUUGCAAAUUGUUUUACAACAAAAAGACAAGUUUAAUAAAUAUAUUGUAGACGAAAUAGCAAAACAGGAGAAUAAAAUGGUUCUUCGAUUACCUCCAUAUCAUUGCGAAUUAAAUCCAAUUGAAAUGGUAUGGUCAUUGGUUAAGGAAUAUGUCAAGAGUAAUAACAAAACAUUUAAAUUACAAGAUAUAAAGAUAUUACUUGAACAAAGUAUUGCCAGAGUAACAGCUGAACAUUGGAAGGAUUUUAUUAAACAUACCAAAGAAAAAGGGGAGAAAAUGUGGGAGAUUGAUUAUAUAGUUGACGUAAUGAUUGAUGAGAUACCUCUGUCAAUAUUUAAUAUUAUGGACGAAACAGAUUGAUAGCGAUUAAUUUUCCAAUUUUAACACAAAAUUUGAAAAGGUAUUAAAUGACUUCACGACAAAAUUAUGUUUUGUACCUCACUUUUAAAUGAACAUUUCUAUUUCUUUGGUAUGUCAUAUCUACAGAAUAUAGAAAGCGAUAAGCGGAUUACGAUGUGUCACAAAAUUUUCUCUUCACGUCAAGCAUUCAUAAAGAGAUGGAAGAGCGAAUUACAAACGAAUCUACUACAAAUUCCUUCUUUAAAUUAGACAUUAGACGUUCACAUAGAGGUUUAUCUAUAGAAUGGAUGAAAGCAAAUCUUGACCAUAAAAUGAAGUAAAAUUAGAAUUAUAAAACAUGAGAAGCCUGCACAGAGAUGCGUUAUGCGUUAUAAGUGAAAUAUAGAUUCCUGAAAUGAGUUAUUAUUCCUCAUAGUUUCACCUAAUAUCCUUCAACUCUGUAAUAAAUUUCCUGUAAGACACAUCUACAAAGGAUCAAGAUUGAACUUUGAAUUCAUUCAUUACAGUUUUUUAUACCAAUCACUCAUCAUUUCUUAUACAUCAAGAAUGCAAUUGAAAGAUAUUAACAUUUAUUGCUGCUUGAUUGCAAUUAUAAACUGGACAUCAAGAUGGCAUCUUGCUAAAAAUAUUUAUUUGCAAUGCAGUAAUAAUGGGAUCAUGUGUGUGGUUUGUACAUUUGAUGGUAAAUGUUGAAAACCAAGUGGAUAAUAUUUCGAGUAUAAUAUAUAGAAAUAUGAUGUUGCAAAUGAUAUACGCUAUCCUGACUUUUCUAUGAUUGAUUGGUUCUUGCCUUUGCUGAUUUUGUUGCUAAAAGAAUUUAAAAAACGAAUAAAAAACAAUCUUAGAAUUUAUUUUGUUACGGAUGCACACACAUAUUUAACAGUACGACUGUUUGUAUUUAUAUAGAUACUAUUUGAAGAUGUACAUGUGAUUUUAAUAAUAGUAUUGGAAACGGAUGAGACUACAUUAGUCCCUGAACAUCACCUAGAACUAUCUAAGAAGUUAUGUGACUCCCACUAAGUUGUCAGAUCUAACCUUGCUUGUACUGUUGUGUACUGGACGUUAUGAGACUGCUUGAAGCAAUGGAUAAAUACUAUAAAUUAUUUGUGCAUUUUGUUUGACUUGAAAAAUUUUCCACUUUUUCGGAGAAGAAAAUAAUGAACAAGCUGAAAUGAACAGUAAAUAUAUUUCAUACAAA